CACACACACAGCCUUUAUCUUAAACGGUGAACCAUAAUAGGUCUAAUUAUCACAUGUUUAGUCAUUAACACAAACAUUAAUUAUGUUUUCCUUUGAGGCUCAAUCAGCGAAGAAGACGCAUUACCGUAAACCUCUGUGUAGAAGCGCAAGAAUAUCCUCCCGCAGCUUCCGUCACGUGACCACAUGUCCCGGUGAGUCACGUGUGUGGAAGCUCAAACGCAGCAGUGUGUAGCUGUAGUGUCUCCGCGAUUUAUGAACAUAUAUAAAAAGGAUUGGAUACCUGCAAAAUGCUCGUGUCAGUGUUCGUGUUGGAGUUUAACCUGUGACGUCGAGGAGCUCGUUACCAUGGAGCCUGCUGACAGGAGAAGGGGUUUCCCUCCACGGCAGCACUGAGCUCAUCUCUCCCAAAGAGAUGCGUUGACAAGUCAUUUGCUGUCCCCAUGUCUCAGGACGCAACAACGUCGGUGCAGCACUGGAUCUUCAGCCGUCUGUCUGAAGGCUUGAAACUCCUCCCACGCUGAUCACAGACAUCAGCAGGAGAGAGGACGAGCCCCCAGUCUGAGGACGUUCCUCCACAUGAAUGGGGGACAGGAGGCGCAGCUUCCAGCCCAGCUGGUAGGAAAGUCCUCCUCAGCUUCUCUGUAACUAUGGACUCUACCUGUUGUCAUGCGUGCAGAUGUUUCAGUCCACAGUGAUGUCAGUCAGUGCUUUUUAAAGAUGUGCAGGGUGUAAAAUCUCCUGUUUGAUUGUUAAAUGUUCAUUCACUUUGUUUGUGCUCCAAAUAAAUUCACUUCCUAGAUGAAACAGUUCAA